AUUUAAAUAGCUUAUAAAUAUAGAGCGUUAUAUUGAAGAUAUAAAAGAGAUAAUUUAUUAUUUUUAAGUA
rnacentral:tRNA from 1 species